rnacentral:misc_RNA from 1 species
AAGUCGUAACAAGGUUUCCGUAGGUGAACCUGCGGAAGGAUCAUUAACAAAUCAUGUGAGUUGGGGCUUUGCCCGGCUCAUUUUUGCGCGUGUGUUGUGUGACUGGUUACAAAAAUGUUGGGUAUCAUAAAGAGACAACUUUUAACAAUGGAUCUCUUGGCUCUU